ACGCAGCCCGGCUUGAGCGGAAAUCCUUUUUAUUUUUUUGCAAAAAAAUAAAAAGAUUGGAAGUGGAAGACGGAAAUAGC
rnacentral:sRNA from 1 species